rnacentral:lncRNA from 1 species
CCUCUUUAGGAUACCAAAGCUCUUCCCAUGCCACCUUAGCUUUUGUUGGUCUGAAAUCUGAUUUGGAGAGCCCGACCACAAAAAAGUAGUGCACAUACUUUCAAUUUCAUCCAGACAAGCUUUAGGAAGAAUGAAAGUUGGCUCCAGAAGUUUACAAUACUAGAGAUAAUAGACUUGAUUAAUUGUAAACGACCAGCAUAUGAGAGACUUGUUGCGCCAAGAGAUCAUCCUCUUACGUACUAUGUCUAUCAAAGUUCCAUAGUCCUGCUUUGUGGGGGCCUUAGUGAUGAAAAGCAUACCCAUAU